GGGGCUGAUUUUGGUUUUGACAGCAGGUAGAAUGGGUGGGUAAGCAUGCCGAGCGUGCGUGGGUUGGCUCGUAAAUCUCGGUCCACGGAACGAUUAAAUGGCAAUGAAAAUUUUGCUCUCGCGGCCUAGUUAUCGCUAAGCGAAACUCGCCUAAUCGGUACGUAUGAAUCGUGCCGACGGGACGUCUCCGGGGUGGCCUCUCCCUGUGGCUACCCGCUCGGGGGCGCUAAGACUACAGGGAUAGCGCGGGGCAGGGCGCCGGGCACUGUGCGAAAAUUCCGGCACUAAGGGGUAUGUUUGGUGGUCGCUCGCCGGGCGCACCCCCUACAAUCAAGCGGCGACUAAGCAUGUAGAAAGCCUGCUGGUUCCCUGUUUGGACGCGGGUUCGAACCCCGCCAGCUCCACGA
rfam:Bacteroidetes bacterium 12B contig71617055, whole genome shotgun sequence.